CCCUUAGAUGUUCUGGGCAGCACGCGCGCUACAAUGGUCUUCGCAAACGGAUGCAUUCUCGAAGGAGAAUGCCAAUCUUGGAAUCUAUGCCUUGGUCGGGACAGUUGCUUGCAAUUUUUCGACUCGAACCAGGAAUUCCUUGUAAUCGUGAUUCAUCACAUCACGAUGAAUACGUCCCUGCCCUUUGUACACACCGCCCGUCGCUCCUACCGAUCGAAGAGUUAGGUGAAUUGUUUUGAUCGGUAAGAUUUGACUAUGGUCAACUCUCGUUGUGAAAUUCUGUGAAUCUGACUGUUUAGAGGAAGGAAAAGUCGUAACA
rnacentral:rRNA from 1 species